rnacentral:rRNA from 1 species
AUUGAACGCUGGCGGAAUGCUUUACACAUGCAAGUCGAACGGCAGCACGGACUUCGGUCUGGUGGCGAGUGGCGAACGGGUGAGUAAUGUAUCGGAACGUGCCCAGUCGUGGGGGAUAACGUAGUGUAAAUUACGCUAAUACCGCAUACGAUCUAUGGAUGAAAGCGGGGUAUCGCAAGACCUCGCGCGAUUGGAGCGGCCGAUAUCAGAUUAGGUAGUUGGUGGGGUAAGGGCCCACCAAGCCAACGAUCUGUAGCUGGUCUGAGAGGACGACCAGCCACACUGGAACUGAGACACGGUCCAGACUCCUACGGGAGGCAGCAGUGGGGAAUUUUGGACAAUGGGCGAAAGCCUGAUCCAGCCAUUCCGCGUGCAGGAUGAAGGCCCUCGGGUUGUAAACUGCUUUUGUACAGAACGAAAAGGUUUCUACUAAUACUAGGAGCUCAUGACGGUACUGUAAGAAUAAGCACCGACUAACUACGUGCCAGCCGCCGCGGUAA